rfam:Microbacterium sp. Root61 contig_1, whole genome shotgun sequence.
UCUGACUCCUCGAUCGUGAUCUCCCGCCGCUCGCGCCCUGACACACUUCCCCGGUGUCUGGUCGGAGCGGAUGGAGAUCAGGGUCGAGGAGAUCCGCCCC